GACGAACGCUGGCGGUGUGCUUCACACAUGCAAGUCGAACGAGGUAGCAAUACCUAGUGGCGGACGGGUGAGUAACGCGUGGGAAUCUGCCUUUAGAUGGGGGAUAACGGGUCGAAAGACUCGCUAAUACCGCAUAUGACGAAAGUUGAAAGGAGUAAUCCGUCUAAAGAUGAGCCCGCGUCCGAUUAGCUAGUUGGUAGAGUAAAAGCCUACCAAGGCGACGAUCGGUAGCUGGUCUGAGAGGAUGAUCAGCCACAAUGGGACUAGAAGACACGGCCCAUACUCCUACGGAGGCAGCAGUGGGAAUUUUACGCAAUGGGCGAAAGCCUGACGUAGCGACACCGCGUGAGCGAAGAAG
rnacentral:rRNA from 1 species